rnacentral:piRNA from 1 species
UGCCAUGCCUACCUCCAGAUCCUAUUAGCC